UACGAAGGGGGCUAGCGUUGCUCGGAUUGACUGGGCGUAAAGGGCGCGUAGGCGGUUCGUACAGUCAGACGUGAAAUUCCUGGGCUCAACCUGGGGGCUGCGUUUGAUACGUGCGGACUUGAGUGCGGAAGAGGGUCGUGGAAUUCCCAGUGUAGAGGUGAAAUUCGUAGAUAUUGGGAAGAACACCGGUGGCGAAGGCGGCGACCUGGUCCGAUCUGACGCUGAGGCGCGAAAGCGUGGGGAGCAAACAGG
rnacentral:rRNA from 1 species